AAAAAUCACGCAUUAAAACAACCCUCUGCAUCUAUCCCCAUGUCCCCGUACUCACCAGGUCUCCCCCUCGAUUCAGACGAAGCCCACCGCCGCCGCCGCCGCCAGUGAAGAGCACAGCCCACCGCCGCCGUCCGGAAAGGUUUGCUCUUUCAAAAUCAAUGCAUUUGUGAGUACCAAGCUGAAUAAGGUUUAUUAUGCAUGCUGAAUAAGUUACAUUUUUCAGAAACUUGUCAGAGGAAGAGACGAUGGGCUUUAGAGAAUUUGACUCCCAGUAUAGUGAUAAAUAGAGGGAUAAUUAACCUUGAGGUCCUAAGGGCUGCUUUAUAAAAGCUUUGUACCAAAUUUACUGAAUUAGAAAUAACAGUUGAUAGAGCUGAUGGAGGUGUAUGAAUGGGCAGUUCUUGCAGUUACUCAGUGGACAUAUGGUGUAAUUAUUGUCAGUUUGCGAUUUCAACAUACAAUGACCCAGAUGUCAUCAGAAGGAGUGAACAUGGGCUGUGGACUGCUUUUCUUGCAUUUGCGGUGCGUUUGUUCUUACCCUUUCCAGGUGAGCUAGCGCUUCCACUGUCAACAAUGUUGGCUGUCAGUGUUGCUCUUUACCAGGUGGUGGACUCCUGGUUGAUAAGACAUUAGCUGUACCGCUAGCUUUGCUGCAUAUGUUAGGUUCUUAGCUUUUUCAGUUUAUAUGUCCUGGACUCCUGGUUUUACUUUUUCCUCAUUCUCCUGUAAUUAUUCUCGUGAUAGUCUGCUCUCUUCUUCUCUGAGGAUUGGUGUGUAUAAGGAUUGAACAUGUGAAUUGA